CACUUAAUCUAGGCAAAAGUAAUGGGGGUUUAGUUACAUUAUAUUAUCAUACAUUGCAUAAGCCUGCGACAACGUUAAUGUACCCCAUCUUUGCAAUGUAUGAUCAUAUAAUGUAACUAAACCCCCAUUACUUUUGCCUAGAUUAGGUG